rnacentral:rRNA from 1 species
GCUGAACGCUGGCGGCGUGCCUAAUACAUGCAAGUCGAGCGAACUGAUUAGAAGCUUGCUUCUAUGACGUUAGCGGCGGACGGGUGAGUAACACGUGGGCAACCUGCCUGUAAGACUGGGAUAACUUCGGGAAACCGAAGCUAAUACCGGAUAGGAUCAUCUCCUUCAUGGGAGAUGAUUGAAAGAUGGUUUCGGCUAUCACUUACAGAUGGGCCCGCGGUGCAUUAGCUAGUUGGUGAGGUAACGGCUCACCAAGGCAACGAUGCAUAGCCGACCUGAGAGGGUGAUCGGCCACACUGGGACUGAGACACGGCCCAGACUCCUACGGGAGGCAGCAGUAGGGAAUCUUCCGCAAUGGACGAAAGUCUGACGGAGCAACGCCGCGUGAGUGAUGAAGGCUUUCGGGUCGUAAAACUCUGUUGUUAGGGAAGAACAAGUACAAGAGUAACUGCUUGUACCUUGACGGUACCUAACCAGAAAGCCACGGCUAACUACAUGCCAGCCGCCGCGGUAACAC